rnacentral:rRNA from 1 species
AGCAUGAUCGCAAGGACAUGUGGAGCGCUUAGAAGUGAGAAUGCCGGUGUGAGUAGCGAAAGACGGGUGAGAAUCCCGUCCACCGAUUGACUAAGGUUUCCAGAGGAAGGCUCGUCCGCUUUGGGUUAGUCGGGUCCUAAGCUGAGGCCGACAGGCGUAGGCGAUGGAUAACAGGUUGAUAUUCCUGUACCACCAUAAUUCGUUUUAAGCGAUGGGGGGACGCAGUAGGAUAGGCGAAGCG